rnacentral:rRNA from 1 species
AACGAACGCUGGCGGCAUGCCUAACACAUGCAAGUCGAACGAGACCUUCGGGUCUAGUGGCGCACGGGUGCGUAACGCGUGGGAACCUGCCCUUAGGUUCGGAAUAACUCCCCGAAAGGGGUGCUAAUACCGGAUAAUGUCUUCGGACCAAAGAUUUAUCGCCUUUGGAUGGGCCCGCGUUGGAUUAGCUAGUUGGUAGGGUAAAAGCCUACCAAGGCGACGAUCCAUAGCUGGUCUGAGAGGAUGAUCAGCCACACUGGGACUGAGACACGGCCCAGACUCCUACAGGAGGCAGCAGUGGGGAAUAUUGGACAAUGGGCGAAAGCCUGAUCCAGCAAUGCCGCGUGAGUGAUGAAGGCCUUAGGGUUGUAAAGCUCUUUUACCCGGGAUGAUAAUGACAGUACCGGGAAAAUAAGCUCCGGCUAACUCCGUG